CACGGAGUUAGCCGAUGCUUUUUCUUCGGAUACACGCAGUCCGGGACACGUCCCGGGUUUUGUUCUCCGACAAAAGAGGUUUACAACCCAUAGGGCCGUCUUCCCUCACGCGGCUUGGCUGGUUCAGGAUCUCUCCCAUUGACCAAUAUUCCUCACUGCUGCCUCCCGUAGGAGUCCGGUCCGUGUCUCAGUACCAGUGUGGGGGACCUUCCUCUCAGAACCCCUACGCAUCGUCGCCACGGUGGGCCGUUACCCCGCCGUCAAGCUAAUGCGCCGCAUGCCCAUCCUCUUCCGAUGAAUCUUUCCUCGAUCUCGGAUGCCCGAAACCGAUAUACGCGGGAUUAGCCUCCCUUUCGGAAGGUUGUCCCCCUGAAGAGGGCAGGUUGCAUACGUGUUACUCACCCGUGCGCCGGUCGCCGGCAAGGAAAGCAAGCUUCCCUCCCGAUGCCCCUCGACUUGCAUGUGUUAAGCCUGCCGCUAGCGUUCAUCCUGAGCCAGGAUCAAACUCU
rnacentral:rRNA from 1 species